CACCAGCCCCUCGAGUGGUGGGAUGAUUAUUUGGCCUAAAGCGUCCGUAGCCGGCCGGGUAAGUUUCCCGUUAAAUCCAGCGUCUCAAGCGUUGGACUGCGGGAAAUACCGCCUGGCUAGAGAGUGGGAGAGGUCAGCGGUAUUCUGGGGGUAGGGGCGAAAUCCUUUGAUCCCCGGAGGACCACCAGUGGCGAAGGCUGCUGACUAGAACACGUCUGACGGUCAGGGACGAAAGCUGGGGUAGCGAACCGGAUUAGAUACCCGGGUAGUCCCAGCCGUAAACGAUGUAUGCUAGGUGUUGGGUUGGCCACGAGCCACCCCAGUGCCGCAGGGAAGCCGUUAAGCAUGCCGCCUGGGAAGUACGAUCGCAAGAUUGAAACUUAAAGGAAUUGGCGGGGGAGCACCACCAGGCGUGAAGCCUGCGGUUU
rnacentral:rRNA from 1 species